ensembl:lncRNA
CAUAUUUGAAUUGUUUUUUACAAGGGCUCCCAACUUUGAGCAUGGAAGUCUGUAUUAAUCAGAGUAGACUAGUUAUGUUCUGAUAACAAAUGGUUUAAUGUUUCGGUGCCUUAAUACAACAACAGUUGAUUUCUUGACAGCAUUUUAUGUCCUAUUCUGGUUGCGGAGCAGUGGAUUGAAGGUCCUGCUUUGUGUAGUCACUCGGGGACUCAGGCUGUCAAAGGUCCUGCCAUUCUGUAUCUACACUAUCUGAAGUGACCACUCCCUAGUUGCUCCAGCAGGGAAUAGAGGCUGAAGAAGCAUGCAUGGGCUUUUUAUUGCCUCAUAUCAAACUUGAUAUACAUCACUUAUGGUCACAUUUCAGUGGCCAGAAUUAGUUAUGUGUUCCCAGCCAACUGCAAAGGAGCAGAAAAUGCAGCCUUCUAUGUGCCAAAAAGGAGAGAACAAGGUACUGGCAAAUGGUGGUACUAUCUUCUACAUACACAGUUCGUUGGUUGAUACCAGUGUGAAUCUGUGCUGCCUAGCCGAGAGGCAGGAUCGGGUUUUCGAUGUGCUCUGAAUACCUGGGAACACUCUCCAUGGCAUUGCUUCGUUGGAAAAUCUUCUUUGAAAAGGCAACAAACUCCACCUGGAAGAACAGGUAAGUAAGUAACUAACUUAACAACUAUUUUGUGCCUUACCCUUUUAUAAAAGCCAUCCACGUACCAUUUAAUGUUCACAGAACACUUACGAAGACUCCAGGAGAGAUUUGAUGAUGCCCAUUUUACAGACAAGGAAACAAGCUCAGAUAAAUAGUUCCCCCCAAAGCCCACAGUUCCUAGUUGUAGAGCAAAGACUCAGUUCCCUUUUCUUCUGGGGAUAAAUCAUGUGUAUUUUCUGCCACAGACAGGGUCCUAAGGAAGACCAAUUUCUUUCCAUCAGGACGGGGUAUGGUUCUUGAAUCCAACACCUGAUUUCUUAUUGCAGAGGUUCCUAAGGGCUGGGUCUUUAGCGCUGAUGAAAGUCAGAUUCCAGCCGCCAGCCGUAGGAGAUACCUGCAGGCGUUCCAGCCAACCCAGAGACCUAGAAAGAAAACCCAAGCAUUCCUAACCUUUAAAAAGAUCUUAGCCUGUGGACAGAUAAAUUAACUCCAGGGCUCUGGGGAGAUUAAACCUUAUUUUAUGGUUUGCUUGUUAAAAACGCAUAACUCCAAAUCUCACCAGAGAUUGCAAUUAAGAUAGCACAGGGCUAAAGCUAUAUGAGAAGUAUUAUUUACUCCCGGUUCCCUGCAAAGUCCAAAACGACAAUGGGCUUUUCCAUUUCAUAACCCGCAGUCGAGCUGAAGCCACCUGCCUUUGUACCUAAAAUGCUUUAGGACACGUGCUUCUCUCCCAGCGCAGCUGCUACCACAGUUCUGUUAUCCUUUGUGGUUGCCCAAAGUAGCCAUAAAAACCCAAAGUUAAAACAAAGUUUCCUGGGCGUUAAUGUUCAAGAGACACCAAGAACAUUUUUUACCAUCUGCUUCUCUGCUGUUCUCACCUGAGGGGCCCUUUUUCUGUGUUCUCCUUUGAAUGCCUGACAUGUACGAGCCCCAGAUAGCUCCCUAAUUUCUAGCAAAGUCCCGGGAAAAGCCAGAUCACCCCAGAGCCGACUGAUCACACUAAAGUAUGAGGGAGAGAGCUGCCACAAGCCUUCUCAGCCAUUGCUACUGGAGACCACACACAGUGAGUCGAACACAUUUUUUCCCACUCUGGAAGUUCUGUGAAAAGUUGGUUACUCUGUGUGCUCAAAGACAAUUCCCAAGGACUGUUUAGAUUUUCUUUCUGGGGUCCUUUUUACUCCUUGAGAUUCAUGGUUGGCUUUUCGGUCUUCUGUGUGUAUAGAAGAGAUGCAUAAUGAAUUUAUGAGCGUCUUUCUGUGAGAAAUUUCAUCUUAGCCACUGUGGUGUAGUGACAGUCUUUCUCAAAUUUGUCUUUUGCAUUUUAAGACUCAUGUGGAGCGUUUGAUUCGUAUUCAGAUUCCUGACUCCAUUGAAGAGUCGCUCAACCAAGUGAUUCUUAUCAUCAAGUGAAUCUGGAGAUGCUGGUGUAGUGAAAAGAAUACUCCGUGGGGAGAUAGGAGAACUGAGUUUUAGACUAACCUUUAUUACCUACUAACUAUUUGAUCUUUAUCUCGUCUCAGUGCUUGCUAGUUGUUAAAUGCCUCCUUGCAAAAGGAGGGGCAGCUAUGAUUAAGUGUGUCAGGCAUGUUCUAAUUGCGUUGUAAGCAAAAACCCUACAAAGUAGCCUCAAGGUCACACAGCUAGUCAGAGGCAGGGCCAAGAUUCAAACAGAUUGGCUCGACUCAUGAGCCCAGCUUUCUAACUACUAUGCUGUGCUACCUCUGUAAAUAGGUUCUCUCAGCUCCAAUGUCCCACAAGUUUCUUGUAGCCAAAGAAAAGACCUCACACAAUCUAUGAGAAGUAGACCUUCCAUUGCAGCUUGCUCCAUCUCUGUCCUGGGUGAAUCCCCCUGCUCCUAAAUAACACAAAGACUCUGGACCAGCCCUGCAUUUUGUUUUUUUCUUUGCUGGUGAUUAUCUGGGGCUGAUUUGGCCAAACUUCUAAGUCUGUUGCCUAGCAAGUCCCAGCACAUCUGGAGUCCUGCUGUUGUCUCAAUUG